GCUGGGUAUGGUGGUGUGUACCUGUAAUCCUAGCUACUUGGGAGGCUGAGGUGGGAGGAUAGCUUGAGUCCAGGAGGUUAAGCCUGCAGUGAGCCAUGACCACGCCACUGCACUUCAGCCUGGGUGACAGAGUAAUACCCUAUCUCAA
rnacentral:SRP_RNA from 1 species